AUUGAACGCUGGCGGCAGGCCUAACACAUGCAAGUCGAACGGUAACAGGAAGCUUGUUGCUGCUUUGCUGACGAGUGGGGGACGGGUGAGUAAUGUCUGGGAAACUGCCCGAUGGAUGGGGAUAACUACUGGAAACGGUAGCUAAUACCGCAUAAUGUCGCAAGACCAAAGAGGGGGACCUUCGGGCCUCUUGCUAUCGGAUGUGCCCAGAUGGGAUUAGCUGGCUGGUGAGGUAACGGCUCGCCACGGCGACUAUCUCUAGCUGGUCUGAGAGGAUGACCACCCACACUGGGACUGAGACACGGCCCAUACUCCUACGGGAGGCAGCAGUGGGGAAUAUUGCACAAUGGGCGCAAGCCUGAUGCACCCAUGCCGCGUGUAUGAAGAACGCCUUCGGGUUGUAAAGUACUUUCAGCGGGGAGGAAGGGGAUGAAUUUAAUACAUUCAUUCAUUGACGCUACCCGCAGAACAAGCACCGGCUAACUCCGUGCCAGCAGCCGCGGUAAUACGGAGGGUGCAAGCGUUAAUCGGAAUUACUGGGCGUAAAGCGCACGCGUGCGGUUUGUCAAGUCAGAUGUGAAAUCGCUGGGCUUAACCUGUGAACUGCAUAUUGCACUGGUAGGCUUGAGUCUCGUAUAGGGGGGUAGAAUUCCAAGUGUAGCAGUGAAAUGCGUAGAGAUCUGAAGGAAUACCGGUGGGCGAACGCCGUCCCCCUAGUACGAAGACUGACGCUCAGGUGCGAAAGCGUGGGAAGCAACCAGGAUAGGAUACCUUGGUAGUCAACCCGGUAAACGAGGUAUAUUGCGAGGUUGUGCGCCUGACUCGUGGUGUCGGGAGCUACCCAGUUAAAUAGCCGCCUUGGGGAGUACGCCCGCAAGGUUAAAAUUCAAAUGAAUGGCGGGGGGCCCGCCCAAGCGGUGGACCAUGUGGUUUAUUUGGAUGCAACGGGAAGACCUUUCCCUGCCCUUGCCAUCCAGAGAAUUUAGCAAAGAUGAUUUGGUCCUUUCGGGAAUUAUAAGACAGUUGUUGCAUGGCGGUCUUCAGCUCGUUUUGUGAAAUGUUGGGUUAAUUCCCGCAACGAGCGCAACCUUUUUCUUUUGUUGCAACCGAUUCGGUUGGGAACUCAAAGGAGACUGCCGGUGAUAAACCGGAGGAAGGUGGGGAUGACGUCAAGUCAUCAUGGCCCUUACGGCCAGGGCUACACACGUGCUACAAUGGUGCAUACAAAGAGAAGCGACCUCGCGAGAGCAAGCGGACCUCAUAAAACGCGUCGUAGUCCGGAUUGGAGUCUGCAACUCGACUCCAUGAAGUCGGAAUCGCUAGUAAUCGUGGAUCAGAAUGCCACGGUGAAUACGUUCCCGGGCCUUGCACACACCGC
rnacentral:rRNA from 1 species